UCCGAUAAGGGCAAACCCGUCGUGAGGCGGGGACGCAAAGCCACGGGUCAGGUGGCACCUGAUAGCCGGGCUACCGAAG
rfam:Candidatus Rokubacteria bacterium 13_1_40CM_4_69_5 13_1_40cm_4_scaffold_2758, whole genome shotgun sequence.